AUAAACUCGAGGGAUCAAUAUUCCGGGGUUUCUUGGCCGACAUUUUUUCUGUUUCGGGCAACAAAGGUGGACUCGCAACUAUAAUCUGGGGAUUGAAGACUCUCAAUUCUUUUGCAAUCAUCGUUCCGGCAUCCACGUUUUCCUGAAGGACGGUCAACAAAUUAAUUUCUCGGUUGAAGUUUCAGCCUCGGAGACGGGCACAGCUAGCCAUGGAUCUGAACGUAUGUCCGCGAUUUUAAUGCGAGUCUUUUGGGGCAUCAAUAUCCGCAUUAUUAGGGAACGACAUUCGCUCGAUAUUUUAGGGGCUUUCGGGAAUGUCACCUUACUUUGAACUUGCUAAAGAUUAUUAAAAUCGAUUUUUUAGCCAAUGUUCAUUCUUCAAUUCAAAAAUAAAUCAAUGAUCUCGCGAUUCCUCGUUCUCGCGAAGCUAAAAUUCAUUGUUUUUUGAGACCAACUGUCUUUUCCCCAGCGAGUCCUCCGAACGGGGCUUUUUUUAGUUAAAUCCCCGAGGCACGGAAAUCGAUAGAAAAUUAUUGUCAAUUUCGCAUAUACCUGGAUACCUUUAGUAGGUGUGCAAAGUUGGUAUCGUCGAAGGGUAAACAGCCGUAAACCAUGGCGUAAAGAACGACCCCCAAAGACCAAGCGUCUGACAAUUGUGGCUGGUAUGGAAUACCCCGUAGAAUUUCGGGCGAGGCGUAAGCGUAACUCCCGCAAAAGGUUUCGCUCAAAAUAACAACCCCAUUUUUUGGUUUCAUUUGUCCUCUUGCGAAUCCAAAAUCGGACAAUUUUAUGUUGUAUUCUUGGUCCAUCAAGAGGUUUUCACAUUUGAUAUCCCUGAUUUGAUGUCAUUCCGAAUUUUAUUUCAUUUGAUUAAAAAAAAAAAAAAAAGAAAAAAUUCGAAAAGUUAUUCCAAUAUGCUCGUGGUUGUGGCUACAAUUUUGUUUACCUGUGAACAACGCCACGCUCGUGACAAUAAUCAACCGCGUCGGUGAGUUGUCGGAACCAACGUCGACUUCUCGAUUCAUCGAUAAAAGUGUCGCGACAAAUAAUAUCGAGCAAACUUCCAUUAACAGCGAAUUCCAUGAUGAUGUAAACGCUGCAUUGACAAACAGUUUUAUUACGUUUUUCAUUAGAAAUAUUUUCGCAUAAAGAUUUUUGGAAAUGUUGAAAAGGUAUCGUCGCUUUUAAACAAAUAAAUCAACUGACCGAUGA